GCUUUUAAAGGAUAAUAGCCAUCCGCUGGCCUUAGGAGCCAGAAACUCUUGGUGCAACUCCAAGUAAAAGCU
rnacentral:tRNA from 1 species